rnacentral:rRNA from 1 species
AGUGAACGCUGGCGGCAUGCCUAACACAUGCAAGUCGAACGGCAGCACAUUAAUAGCUUGCUCUUACGGUUGGCGAGUGGCGGACGGGUGAGGAAUACAUCGGAAUCUACUUUUUCGUGGGGUAUUACGUAGCGAAACUUACGCUAAUACCGCAUACGACCUACGGGUGAAAGCAGGCGAUCUUCGUACCUUGCGCGAUUGAAUGAGCCGAUGUCGGAUUAGCUAUUUGGCGGGGUAAAGGCCAACCAAGCCGACGAUCCGUAGCUGGUCUGAGAGGAUGAUCAGAGACACUGGAAGUGAGACACGGUCCAGACUCCUACGGGGGGAAGGAGUGGGGAAUAUUGGGCAGUAGGCGUGAGCAAGAUCCAGCAAUACCGCGUGGGUGAAGAAGGCAUUCGGGUUGUAAAGCACAUUUGUUGGGAAAGAAAAGCAGCAGGUUAAUAACAAGAAAUUAUGACGGUACCCAAAGAAUAAGCACCGGCUAACUUCGUG